AGUGAACGCUGGCGGUAGGCCUAACACAUGCAAGUCGAACGGCAGCACAGUAAGAGCUUGCUCUUACGGGUGGCGAGUGGCGGACGGGUGAGGAAUACAUCGGAAUCUACUUUUUCGUGGGGGAUAACGUAGGGAGACUUACGCUAAUACCGCAUACGACCUACGGGUGAAAGCAGGGGAUCUUCGGACCUUGCGCGAUUGAAUGAGCCGAUGUCGGAUUAGCUAGUUGGCGGGGUAAAGGCCCACCAAGGCGACGAUCCGUAGCUGGUCUGAGAGGAUGAUCAGCCACACUGGAACUGAGACACGGUCCAGACUCCUACGGGAGGCUGCAGUGGGGAAUAUUGGACAAUGGGCGCAAGCCUGAUCCAGCCAUACCGCGUGGGUGAAGAAGGCCUUCGGGUUGUAAAGCCCUUUUGUUGGGAAAGAAAAGCAGCAGGUUAAUACCCCGCUGUUCUGACGGUACCCAAAGAAUAAGCACCGGCUAACUUCGUG
rnacentral:rRNA from 1 species